ACAGAGGGUGCAAGCGUUAAUCGGAGUUACUGGGCGUAAAGGGCGUGUAGGCGGAUUCUUAAGUCGGAUGUGAAAUCCCUGGGCUCAACCUAGGAAUGGCUUUCGAUACUGGGAGUCUAGAGUAUGGUAGAGGAAAGCGGAAUUCCCGGUGUAGUGGUAAAAUACGUAGAUAUCGGGAAGAACACCAAUGGCGAAGGCAGCUUUCUGGACCAAUACUGACGCUGAAGCGCGAAAGCGUGGGGAGCAAACAG
rnacentral:rRNA from 1 species